rnacentral:rRNA from 1 species
GACGUAGGGCGCGAGCGUUGUCCGGAUUUAUUGGGCGGUAAAGAGCUCGUAGGCGGCUUGUUGCGUCGGCUGUGAAAACCCAUGGCUUAACCGUGGGCUUGCAGCCGAUACGGGCAGGCUAGAGUUCGGUAGGGGAGACGUGGAAUUCCUGGUGUAGCGGUGAAAUGCGCAGAUAUCAGGAGGAACACCGGUGGCGAAGGCGGGUCUCUGGGCCGAUACUGACGCUGAGGAGCGAAAGCGGUGGGGAGCGAACAGG